rnacentral:tRNA from 1 species
ACUUCUAUGGUGUAAGGAACAUAAUACAUUUUCGCUGUAUAGUUAAAAUUUUUUUUUAGAAGUU